CACAGGUGGUGCAUGGCUGUCGUCAGCUCGUGUCGUGAGAUGUUGGGUUAAGUCCCGCAACGAGCGCAACCCUCGUCCUUAGUUGCCAGCAUUAAGUUGGGCACUCUAAGGAGACUGCCGGUGUUAAACCGGAGGAAGGCGGGGAUGACGUCAAGUCCUCAUGGCCCUUAUGUCCAGGGCUACACACGUGCUACAAUGGCCGGUACAAAGGGUAGCAAGACCGCGAGGUGGAGCCAACCCCAAAAAGCCGGUCUCAGUUCGGAUUGGAGUCUGCAACUCGACUCCAUGAAGUUGGAAUCGCUAGUAAUCGUGGAUCAGCAUGCCACGGUGAAUACGUUCCCGGGCCUU
rnacentral:rRNA from 1 species